GAGGAAGCAGGGCAGGGCACCAGGAAGGGUUUCUCACCCCCGGGUGGGAACAACGCUGUGGGAUCUGAGCUGGAGCCCGACCUCAGCUCCUCUCCCCUCCUAACACACCUGCACGGGGUUUAUUUGUAAAACUUCAUCUCUGCGUCCACGCAGUCGAAGAAGAGCUCGGCCAGCUCCUCUGGCUUUGGGGCCACGUUCCCCGCCAGCAGCGCAUUCACCGCCUCCAGGCCCUGCUUCUCCAGGUCCCGCAGCGUCUGCAGGAGCUCCUGGCCCCGCUCCUGGUCCUUCUCCAUCAGCUCCAGCGCUGCCUGGUGCCGGCGGUAGAGCUCG
rnacentral:lncRNA from 1 species